UUGCUAUGAUGUCUAUAUUUUUCGUCAACAGCAUAUCACCCCUAGGGAGUGAAUGUUGAUAAUUUUUCACUGAGCAA